UAAUCUGCGCCGCCAGUGUGGAGAUGGUAGACAUGACAGCAUAGGGACUUGAUAACAAACCGGUUUCAACUGACAUGUCGCGUGGUUGAUAUCGACAUGGACAUGCAAGUAGCCAUUCCAAAACACGCAAAAUAUAUAAAGCGAGAUUACGACAGCCCAUAACUUUAUUUCCGUAGCCAGUUCACAGCAAGUGGAAGUCACACAUAAUAUCUGGAAGACAUCAUGAAGGCAAUUUUGGUGGCUUUAUUAGUCCUGGUGUACGUAUACACCGCUGCAAGCAUAGAUAUUCCGAUCUUUUGUAGAUUUCUGUGUGUGCCAUUCUUCUGUACUGUUCAUGACGCCAGCGACUGCACUGAUGAUCAAAUAUAUGAGCCUAAAAGUACCGGUUUCUGCAACUGCUGUGGACAGUGUGUCAACAAUAUUACCGAAUUUUAAUGCUAACACAAAUGAAGUUGCCAUGGGACACUGCAUCUCCCAUGAAAUGUUUUCUGUCAGUUCCAGUGGACAUCAUACUUGCUUAAAUGACAUGAGUGUAUUGUAAACAUUAUUAAAUUAAAAUGUAAUAAAGUUGAUGUGAACAAUCUGA